rnacentral:rRNA from 1 species
UUCGGUGCUAGUGGCGAAAGGGUGAGUAACGCGUGGGUGACCUGCCCAGAAGUGGGGGAUAACUCCUCGAAAGAGGGGCUAAUACCGCAUGUGGUCGGGAGAUUCGUCUUUCGACUAAAGAUUUAUCGCUUCUGGAGGGGCCUGCGUUCGAUUAGCUAGUUGGUAGGGUAAAGGCCUACCAAGGCGAUGAUCGAUAGCUGGUCUGAGAGGACGGCCAGCCACACUGGAACUGAGACACGGUCCAGACUCCUACGGGAGGCAGCAGUGAGGAAUUUUGCGCAAUGGGCGAAAGCCUGACGCAGCAACGCCGCGUGGGGGAUGAAGGCCUUCGGGUUGUAAACCCCUUUUCUGCGGGAAGAUGAUGACGGUACCGCAGGAAGAAGUCACGGCAAACUACGUGCCAGCAGCCGCGGUAAUACGUAGGUGGCAAGCGUUGUCCGGAUUUACUGGGCGUAAAGAGCGCGUAGGCGGCCCUUUAAGUCUAUGGUGAAAUCUCCUGGCUUAACUAGGAGGGGUCUGUAGAUACUGGAAGGCUUGAGUACCGCAGAGGAAGAUGGAAUUCCCGGUGGAGUGGUGAAAUGCGUAGAUAUCGGGAGGAACACCAGAGGCGUAGGCGGUCUUCUGGGCGGUUACUGACGCUGAGGCGCGAAAGCGUGGGGAGCGAACCGGAUUAGAUACCCGGGUAGUCCACGCCGUAAACUAUGGGCACUAAGUGUCAUGGGUAUCGACCCCCGUGGUGCCGUAGCUAACGCAUUAAGUGCCCCGCCUGGGGACUA